GGACUACACGGGUAUCUAAUCCUGUUUGCUCCCCACGCUGUCGUGUCUGAGCGUCAGGCACUGGCCAGGACACCGGCUUCCCCUCUGGUAUUCUUCCCGAUCUCUACACAUUUCACUGUUCCACCGGGAGUUCUAUGUCCCUCUCCAGCCCUCAAGCCGACCCAUCUCACGGCACCGCUCCCAGUUAAGCCGGGAGAUUUCAGUCGUGAUGUGACCGGCCGCCUGCACACGCUUUACGCCCAGUAACUCCGGACAACGCUUGCCUCCUACGUAUUACCGCGGCUGCUGGCAC
rnacentral:rRNA from 1 species